AUUGAACGCUGGCGGCAGGCCUAACACAUGCAAGUCGAACGAGUGGCGGCCGGGUGAGUAAUGUCUGGGAAACUGCCUGAUGGAGGGGGAUAACUACUGGAAACGGUAGCUAAUACCGCAUACCAUCGGAUGUGCCCAGAUGGGAUUAGCUAGUAGGUGGGGUAACGGCUCACCUAGGCGACGCUCCCUAGCUGGGCUGAGCGGAUGACCAGACACACUGGAACGGGGACACGGGCCAGACCCCUAAGGGAGGGAGGAGGGGGGAAUAUUGCACCAUGGGCGCAAGCCUGAUGCAGCCAUGCCGCGUGGAUGAAGAAGGCCUUCGGGUUGUAAAGUACUUUCAGCGAGGAGGCGUUACUCGCAGAAGAAGCAACGGCUAACUCCGGGGCAGCAGCCGCGGUAAUAC
rnacentral:rRNA from 1 species